UAAUAAGGAGAAAAAUAAUCAUACAUUGAGGGACGAGUUACCCAAUUGAAUGGGAAAUUUCUUCUCUAAAAAAAACAUUCAUUGUAAUUCAAUUCACUCCUCGAGUUGCUAUUUGCGCCAACACUUCUAUAUCUAAGUAAUAGAACCCAUAUUAAAUAUGAAGAAAAAAAAAUACAUAAAAUAAAUCUUCACAAUUGUUUUUGUGACAUGAAUUCAUUAGGCAAACACUAUACAUAUAUCUAUAUAGAAGAUCUAUAAAUAGCAAAAUUCACUUAAUUAUAGUACGUUAAGGAUUGUUGUUGUCAUGCCAAUGUAUUAUUAGCAUAUUACUACAUAGAAAAUUGCAUACAUUAUACAACUAAAGUUCAUCAAAAGUGCACUAUAAUUUAGUCACAUAACAGAGCAAGCAUUGGGGUUCUCAUCACUGAAUAUUUCAGGAUCAUAAACAUACUCUAAGUAAGACUUUGAUGACCAAUAUUCACUUCUUUUGAUGUCACUCUUCUUAUCUUCCUCUCCCUUUCCUUCUUCACCAUCUUUCUUUUCUCCUUCUUCCUUCUUCUCCUCUUCUUUCUUCUCUUCUUCCUUCUUCUCUUCAUCUUUCACUAUGGAUGCUUGCUUUCUAGUCUUCUUAUACACAUCAUCAACUAGCUUUGUCGGAUCGACCACGCCCUUUACUAUUACUUGACUAUUAGCUAGAUCCGUUUCAACCGAUUCUACACCUACAUUAACCCAUUUGAAAGAAAUUUGAUGUUCAGCUAGAAUCUUUCAACAUUAUAUUUCAAACUAUUUAAAAAUGAAAUUAAAUCAAAUUAGGAGAAUGGUAAAUAAUUUUUUUAUACAAUUGACUUGGAUUUGAAACUCAAAUUUAAAAUUUCACAGGUUUGAAAAUCAUUUCAGUAUCACCGACUAAAGCUCCUUGAUUAAAAGAAUGGUUAUAAGUCAAAGAAGAGAACCUUGGAUCUUUCGAACUCGCUUUUGUAAAACUUGAGCACAUGCUUCGCAAUGCAUUCGAACGCUCAAUACAACUGUUACUACAGCAGGAGGCUCCUCCUUUUUCUCUUCCUUUGGUGCUUCUUCUUUGUUUUCUUGCUUGUUUUCUUCUUGUGGCUUUGGCAAAGGUGAAAUUAA
rnacentral:misc_RNA from 1 species